AAGGGAAUAAAUAUUUAAAUAUUAAAAAUAAUAAUUAUUAAAAAACUCGGGGGGGAGGCAGGGGUAGAUAGUAGAUAGUGUAAUAGCUAUGCAAUAAGAUUCUCAUGCCUAUCAGAAAAGAAAACACAAGUAGAACCUGAAAUGGAAUUGGCGUAUCGCACCAAAGUAAAAGACUCUGGGGUGGGUGGGUGGGUGGGGAGAAUACAGGUCCAUGAAGGAUGAUAAAUGACAUAGUGGGGGUUGUAUUGUUAAAUGGGAAACUGGGGAAUGUUAUGCAUGUACAAACUAUUGUAUUUACUGUUGAAUGUAAAACAUUAAUUCUCCAAUAAAGAAAUAAAUUAAAAAAAAAAAAGAAAUAUGGCAAUCUGGUAGUGGGAAUUGUAUGAAUUGUACCCUUUUCAUCCCACAAUCUUGUUCAUUAUUGAAUCACUAAUAAAAAAAGAAGUUGAAAAAUAAGAAAACACAAAGCAGAACUUGUGCUGGAUUUGGUCCUGGAACAUGAGGACCUAGAGGGGGUUGAAUUGUUAUGUGAAAAACAGAGAAAUGUUAUACAUGUACAAACUACUGUAUUUUACUGUUGACUGUAAACCAUUAAAUCUUCCCCCAAUAAAAAAAGAUGUUU